GUUGCAGGCCCCAGUAGAAGGAUCCGAAUCCGCUGAAAGACCUGGUGGACUUCACGUAUCUGAGCUUAAAGGACGUGAUGAAAUAACUGCAAAGCCACUAAAACUUAAGUGAGUGUGUCUUCGCUCAUCGCUGAGAAACUGUGCAAAAACCUGACCGUGUGCCAGACAGCACUCAUGUCCACUGCACCAAGAAUGCAAACAGAUUAUAUUUAAACGGAUGAAGACUUCAAGCUGCUCGGCUGAAGCCUGCGAGAUGCUCAGACAGCAACACUUUCCAGAGUUAAUUCAACUUUACAACAUGUCAGGGAUUCGUUUCCACACCCUAUAGGAAACGAGGGAGUCUAAGGAAACCAGUUUGUCCGUUGUGCUUGUGCGCUCGGGGCCGAGAAGCUUAAAUCCCCGGACUGCCUAAGAACCGGCCUGCGGAGAUCCUUCACCCAGACCAGGAAGAGGACGGAGAUGCCUGGCAGAAGCUCGCUGAUGAUCCGCAGACGGCGUUCUGAUGGAGGAUUAUGAGGUCAUUCCACCAGAUGCGCAGUUAACAAAUAAGCAGACCAGAAGUAGCGGUAAGCAACCACAACCGAAUACAAAUGGCUUAAUUAUUGCUGCAUGACAUCAAUCCCUGAUGUGGACAUUCUGAUUGGAUCUGAUCUCCACUCGCUUCACCUGAGCCACUGACCAGAUCCUCAGCGUUUCACAAGGCAUGAGCUCACAUCACUGCUAAAACUUCAUUACAACACAUUUGUAGUGUUAACUAUAACUCACUGAAACUGUAAUAAUGUCAUUGUAGCACCAGCUUUAUUUAUAUAGUAAGAUUGAACUUAACCACAAACUGCUCAGGAAACCAGGUUCACUUAUAAAUUGGAUGAAUUUUUAGCCCAAAAUAUAUGUAUAUAUCUUCUUAUAUAGAGAUACAAUUUCAGUUUUGUCUCUCAGGAGAACGCUUUGUAUCCAGUGUUUCAUUCUCUUCUUCCUGUGUCCCGGGUCAGACGCCUGACUCUCGCUUGGUAACCAUGUCAAGCUUAUUUGUUCCUGCAGUCAUAAACAACUCUAGCAUUUAGUUAGUAUUUGGAUAGUCGCCUAUUUAUGUUCAAGGGAAGUGAGCUUCAGUAGUGAACCUUCACAGUAUGGGGGAAGUGUUUGUGUAGCAACUACACACAACACACACAAAAAACAAAACAAUCCAGCCUUGUAUCACUACAACAAGCUUGAAUUCUCAAUUCUGAUUCAUUUUAGUAAGGAACAAUUAAUUAAUGAGUGACAAUAUGAUGCUAUUUUAUACUGUCAUGAAAAUAUGAAUGUGAUAAAAACAGUGUGUGUUGAUUUGCACUUUUUGGACUUUAUUACUAGCAUUGAAUUAAUGAAAUGGAAAUCUCAUAGCAUGAAAUUAAGGAGGUUUUCAGAUGUUUGGUAAUAAGGUGCAGUUAUUAUACAGCUUCAUUAAUCCACUGAAACUGUUUUCUUUCAGUGUUCAGUGGCUACUAGGCACAUCCACGAUGUACCAUGUCCUUCUUCCUAAAUUAGUGAUACUUAGCUGUUACACACACACACACACACACACACAGACGCAGAGUCUCCAGUGUGCUGCUUCUCGUCCCCUGUAUUUACUGCCCUGGCACAAUUCCACAUUAGGUUCCUCUCACAGAUGUGAUCCUAACCAGAUGUUCACGUACCAGACAAGAAACCCUGACCUCCUCGUGUCUGAAGCGUGUAGCAGUGACCGGUUCCUCAUUCACAAUGUUAAAUUAUGCCCCUGUUGACAUGUCUGAUACACAAACGCACAGUUGUGAGCCGGCUUUUGCGGAUUUUCUCUCGUCUGUUUACUGCUUUGGGAGGAAUUCUGUCCGCUGAGCUCAAACAGACGAUUUCACGUUCACGCUCGUAGUGAGCCUGGAAUUUAAAGCCCAGCAUGUAUAUGUGUGUAUAUAUGUAUGUGUGUGUUUGUGUUUGACAUCAGGUGAUAAAUCUGCAGCUCAGUGGCAUGCAGGACCGACUGAUGCUGACAGGACGACAUGUGAUGGUGACAUUAGCGCUGUUAAAAACGCAGCUACGAUUUUACCGUCAAUGAUGGCCAGCGCUACAAUAAAGACUUUGUAGGUCGUGAGAGGGUGGAUCAAGCUCCAUCUGAUGGUGAAGUUCCAGCAAGGAGAGGAAGCCUUAAUGUUGAAACAUGCUUUGCUCCAAACUCCCCAUCAUGAUUCCUUGGAGGUGGUCAAGCUGGAAAGGGGCUGUGUAGAGGAUGAAAUCUACAGUCAACAGAUCAUCUGCAUCUUGAUGUUUUAUAUACUGCUUUGGUACCUGUGGUAGUCAAUGCAUGAACCCAUUGAAAACCAUGCAAACCAUUUCUAGACUUCAUUGACUGGGCUUUAU